rnacentral:misc_RNA from 1 species
AAAUCAUUGCGUUUGUUUUCCUGUUUUCCAUUCUUUGCUGUUCAAAAUUCAUCAAAUGAUAUACUGUCAAUGAUACAAUUGUGUUUCACAUGUUGCAGAAAGAGAAUGAUUGAUGCAUGUAAUUCUUCCAACAUUCUCCAUUUGGUCUCUGGCACUAAGCUUCACAAUGAACAUAACAGCUGAAGCCUGAAGCGCAAAUAAGAGAAAUAUAAUUACAUCCGCUUCCUCAGCAAACUUUAAGCAAUUUCCUUUUUGAAACCAAACUCCAAUUUAUCACCGAAAUUAAAACCCUGUAGACGCAAUAAAUACAUCAAACUUCACGAUCUGAAAAUAUUAAAGUAGCAUUUUUUUUUUAAUUGAUGAAAGUAGCAUUUAGGA